AAGCUGUGAGGCGCUCCGGACGAAUGAACUCCCUCAAGAAGGUGCACAGAGUGGUGGCGAGUCCUUUAUUUUAAUGCCAAACUUCAACUUCCUAAGUUUUCUCUUCCAUCCCUGUCUGUGAAGAAUCCGGGGAGUGUAUGAAAACGUCUAGUUGCAGGAAAACAGGCUGAGGGCUCCCACUGAUUCUACAUUAUGAACAUCAGACCCCAAGUUCUUCAGCUUUUGGACUCUUGGACUUACACCAGCGGUUUGCCAGGGGCUCUCAGGCCUUUGGCCAGAGACUAAAGGCUGCACUGUCAGCUUCCUUACUUUUGAGGUUUUGAGACUGGGACUGAUCCACCACUGGCUUCCUCGCUCCUCAACUUGCAGACGACAUAUCGUGGGAGUUUACCUCUUGAUCCUACUCGGGAGGCUGAGUUGGGAAGAACAUCUGAACCCAGGAAAUCGAGGCUGCAGUGAGCCACGAUCACACCAUGCCACGGCACUCCAGCCUGGGCAACAGGAUGAGACCUUGUCUCACACACACACACAAAAAGAAAGGGCUGGAAUCUGAGUAGCUGAGGUGCUUAUGUGACUACAUGCCUACAUCACUGACCCCCAAUAAACACCUUGGACACAAGACUCAGGCUGCUUCAUCGAUACUUUCUUAUUUUAUGUUAUGAUGCAUCAAAGUGAACUCUGAUCCCUUCAAACAGAAUCAUUGCUUUCAGAUAAAGAAACCUCAGAUCAAAUAUAAGCAUCAAAAUCUACAAAGAUUUUAGAGGGUGAAGAAACACGGAAAGAUCUCUGGUGAUGGAGCCAGCAUUGAUGAACCAAGAAAAGUCUUAAACGUGAAGAAGCCUGUGAUAAACAAGGUGACUCACCUCAUCAAAUGGAAUAGGGAUCUUCUGGCAAAGCUGCCUGGGUAAACCGCAACUCACAAGGGAUAGAAUUUCACUAAAUUCUUAAGAGGUUACAGACUCUAUUUCUAUCCUUAAAUACACUCAUUAUUUUAUCCCUGGAUAUACCCAAUUAUAGUUUAAACUUAAAUUGAAUAAAAGAUGAUGGGAAUAAUUCUAUUUUUAUUUCAGGACUGUGCCCAGGGGAAUAACAAGGAAGAAAAAUGUCAGAAGAAUUAGUUUCUCUCUAAUUGAACAAAUGUAUUUAUAUUUCCUUGUUGAUAGGCAUAGAUUCUCAAUGAGAAACUGAAACUUAUGAAGUUACAUUUAAGACUCCAGUUGUGACAAUGAUGACCAAUGCUCUUUGGUAUUACGUUUUCCAAUUCAACACAGGAAAUGAGUUGGAAUUUGUUUUGCAGUUUUUUUUUCAGCCUGUUUUGUGGAGUAUUUUUUCCUGUGAUCUGUAGAAACACAAUGAUAACAUUACGAACUUUGCCAGUCAUUGGCCCAUCAAAAAUGUUUGUAUGCUUGAAUGGGCAAGAAAUUACAUUUGAUGGAGUCCCAUGUGCCUCAUUAACUAAAUUUUUCUUUUCGGUUAUUAUUAAAGGACAGUAGGUGGCCAGGCACGAUGGCUCAUUCCUGUAAUCCCAGCAGUUCAGGAGGCCAAGGUGGGCAGAUCAUGAGGUCAGGAGACCAAGACCAUCCUGGCCAACACGGUGAAAUCCCGUCUCUACUAAAAAUACAAAAAUUAGCCAGGUGUGGUGGUGUGUGCCUGUAAUCCCAGCUACUAGGAGGCUGAGGCAGGAGAAUCUCUCUAACCAGGGAUUCGGAGGUUGCAGUGAGCCGAGAUUGCGCCACUACCCUCCAGCCAGGCAAUAGAGCGAGAGUCUGUCUCCAAAAAAAAAAGACUGUAGGUAUGAGAUCAGACGUGACUUUUAACUUUUAACUUUUAACUUUCAUGUUCUUCAUCUUCCAUUCUUGCCACAAAAAGACUGCCGUUUCCUUCUUCACAUUCAAUGUGUCUCAUGGGUCAGAGAAUCUGUGUGGUUACACUCUUAACUAGUACAGCCACUGUUCUUCGACUACUUAAACGCUCUUAUCCUUCCACUCAGUCAUCCAUUUGACCCCAUUUCCUUUAUAUUCUAUGCAGAAUUACAUGUGCAAUUAGGGUUUGUUUUCAUUAUUACUGUUAUUAUUAUAAUCACUAUUUGCCAAUUCUGUUGAUUACCCUUUCCAUUUGUUUUUCAACAAAACUCUCUCUGUACACCAACAACACUGCCUCAAUCUUUUAAUCUACCAGAAAAAAAAUUCAACUCCAUAAGCAAUUGGAUCAAUAAUAGUAGGAAUUCACAAUUUUCAGUCUCAGUGGUUUCCUUCAACAUUAAACUCCUUUUUAUUUUGAUUGUCCAUUACUUCAUAACUUUGAAAUCCUCUUUCAAUUUCUCUAAUGUAAUUUGACCAAGAUUGUGGCUCGCAAGACUGAACUUUUUUGAAAUAUGGACAUGGGGAGUCCCCACAUUUUGCUAGACUACAUCUUGGAGGGUGCUUGGAAAGCAGAAAUGGUGGGAAAUCGUUUUAUUUUCUGUUUGCAAAAGCCACUUUGCAACUUGUGGUUAUCCUAUUCUAUCACCAAGCUCCUGCCUGUAUUUACAGUGGGCUUUGAAGAACCAGCUGCUGAAAGUGAUAAAUCAGCAGCUGAAAAUGAUGAAUGCGAGACUGAUUGGAACUCAAAGUGAAAUAUAGGUGCUUGUCAACAAUGUUAGAUUGGUAACUUGAGGUGGCAAAGAGUGGUGACUGCUGGCAAAAUGUAUGAAUAUAUGUAUUAUAGUAGCAAUUAUACUUGCUUAUUUCAAUGUUUUUGAAGUCUUCUUAUUUAUAGAACAUUCUGGCUUUUUAUUUUGAGGAGCACUGCUAACAAUAAAUCAGAACCAACAUUUA
rnacentral:lncRNA from 1 species